CCCGGGGCUCCGGCUCCCGGCGACCGCGGCGCGCUGCCUCCGCCGCCCGCUGCCAGCGGCGAGGACGGACGAGAAUUGGGGACUUGUUUGUUUGGGGUGGGGGUGGGGGGAGGAAAGAAAGAAAGGAAAGGAAAGGAAAAAGGAAAGGAGGGGGAGGGGGAGGGAGAGGCAACGCCGAGGAUCCCGAGAAUCUUGCACCAAACGCGCCCAACCUGGAGAGAGGGGGAAAAAUCCUUCCAGAAGAAUUUGCAGGCGUGGAUUGGGGUAAUUUUUUUUUUUUUUUUUUUUUUUGGCGAGAUGGCGUGGGGGGAUCGGAGUUAGAGGCGGGGGGGGGGGAGUUUCUUGGGGGAGGCAAAAAAAAGUUUUCUCUCCUCUGCAAAAGGCGGGCAGGGCGCCCUAAGUCCAAGGACAAUCCAUGGAAGUGUUCGCUUCUUCACAAGUUGUGCAAACGAUUUGUUAGUUCAUGAGCCUAAUUAGUGCGGGGAUCACAUAAACAGCUUCCUCCGAAGCCUGGUAAAUGGCUUGAUGAUUGGUCGCUAUUACUCGCCCUGAGGUGGAAGGGGGGAGACUCUUUAAAGUGCGUCAGAGGGAGGCAGGCGCCUGGGAACCCGGAGGCCUGGAUCCGGGCCGAGAGUGGAACGGACUCGGCGCCGCUGCCUCGGCUGUGCCUCCGGCGCCCGCCAGGCCGCCCGGCCUCUCCGCGCCCUCGUCCCGCGCUCCCGGCUCACUCGCUCCCGCGGCGCCCGCUGCAGCUUCUCCUCCGCCUCUUUCGCCGCCUCCUCUGCCUUCAGCUUCUUCUCUUCUUCCUCCUCCUCCUCUUCCUCCUUCUUCCUCUCCUCUUCUUCCUCCUCCUCUUUCCCCACCUCCUCUCCCUCAGCCACCGCCUCCUCCUCCACCGCCACCACUCCCUCCGGGGCACCCCGGUCCCUGCAGAGUCCCGGCCGGCGGCGCCUCGGCUGCAGCCCCCUGGAUCCUGAGCCUGCCGAGCCCGAGCUGGUAGGACAGACGGACAGACAGACACGCAGAUUCCUCGCGCCUAGCGCUCCGCCGCGGCCCCGGGUCAGGGGAGCUGGGAUCGCCCCCCGAGUACCGCGAGGGUGCUCCUGUGUGUGGAACCAGCAGUCGCUUCCCCAGCUCCCAUGCAACCCCACUCUUCCCCCAGCCCCACCCAGGAAGGCGCUUUAGGAGACUCCCCGCCACAGGAGUGAGGCGUCGCACCGACUCAUCCACAGUCAUCCUCGUAUAUGUGUGUAUAUAUUACAUAUAUAAUCUUAUAUAUGUAUAUGCUCUGCAUAACACGGCUUCCAGACAGGCCCCUCCCCGACUUCUAGUUGGAUUUCUGCCACUAAGCCCUUCCCACAUAGGUGUUCUGGGUUCAUUCCAUCUGUGAAAACUUGGGCCAUGGAUGGGAAAUGUUCCCAUUAGACAGAGUCACCUAGGGCCGUAAAACAGGCCCCAGAGGGCAUUGGGUGCAUCUCUUUGGCUUCGGUGUACCAACAUUCCACCCACAUUCCUUCAUUCAUCUGUCUGGUCAAGCAUCCUUUUAACCAGGACUCAUGGGGCACCUAUGGUGAGGCGGGGCAUGAGGUGCUAGGAAAAAACAGAGCUGAUUUAAGUAUAGUCCUGCCCUCCAGGAGCUCACGGUCUAAGGAGAGAAGGCAGACAUGGGGGGACAAGCAUUAAGUGAGGCCAGCCCCGGUGUCUGAGAGGGUGCGAGCACACGAUAUGGGAAACAGAAGAGGAGGAGAUCAUUUCGGGCAGGCGGGAGAGAGCAGCUUCACAGAGGACAUGGAGGUUGCCCUGGGCUCUGAAUGAUGUGCCCGUUUGGACAAUGGGGACAGAGGGUGACAAGGCAAUCCAGGUGGGGGGAAUGGCAGGAACAAAGGCCCAGAGAAAGGAAACCACUCCAUGGUUUCAAAAACGUGGUCCAAAAACAGCGAGUCACUUUCCAGCUUGCAAACAGCAUACACAUCCCCACUCCUCUGAUCUUCAAGCAUCCUUGUGAAGCUGGUAAGGCAGGUAUAAUUAGUUCCACUUUAUACAUAAGAAAACCAAGGUGCGUAGAGGUUGUAUGAUUUUUCCAAAGGUUUCAGAGCUCGGAUGCAGUGGAACCCAGAUUCAAACUCAAGCUCAAGCUUCCCAGAUCUACAUAAGGCUGAAAAGUUAAGAAAAGGUCAGACUACCA
rnacentral:lncRNA from 1 species